UACGGAGGGUGCAAGCGUUAUCCGGAUUUACUGGGUUUAAAGGGUGUGUAGGCGGACUAUUAAGUCAGUGGUGAAAUCCCGGGGCUCAACCUCGGAACUGCCUUUGAUACUAUUAGUCUUGAAUGUUGUUGAGGUGGGCGGAACGGGUCAUGUAGCGGUGAAAUGCAUAGAUAUGACCCGGAACACCGAUUGCGAAGGCAGCCCGCUAAGCAACUAUUGACGCUGAGGCACGAAAGCGUGGGGAUCAAACAGG
rnacentral:rRNA from 1 species